rnacentral:tRNA from 1 species
GGAUCCGUAACGCAGUGGUAGCGCCUCUGAUUCCAGAUUAGAUUGGAAGGUUGCGUGUUCGAUUCAUGUUGGGUUCA